rnacentral:rRNA from 1 species
AUUGAACGCUGGCGGCAUGCCUUACACAUGCAAGUCGAACGGCAGCACGGGUGCUUGCACCUGGUGGCGAGUGGCGAACGGGUGAGUAAUACAUCGGAACGUACCUUAUCGUGGGGGAUAACGCAGCGAAAGCUGUGCUAAUACCGCAUACGCCCUAAGGGGGAAAGCGGGGGAUCGUAAGACCUCGCGCAAUUAGAGCGGCCGAUAUCUGAUUAGCUAGUUGGUGAGGUAAAGGCUCACCAAGGCGACGAUCAGUAGCUGGUCUGAGAGGACGAUCAGCCACACUGGGACUGAGACACGGCCCAGACUCCUACGGGAGGCAGCAGUGGGGAAUUUUGGACAAUGGGGGCAACCCUGAUCCAGCAAUGCCGCGUGAGUGAAGAAGGCCUUCGGGUUGUAAAGCUCUUUUGUCAGGGAAGAAACAGCAGCUCUAAUACAGUUUGCGAAUGACGGUACCUGAAGAAUAAGCACCGGCUAACUACGUGCCAGCCGCCGCCGUAA